rnacentral:rRNA from 1 species
GUGGGGAAUUUUGGACAAUGGGCGCAAGCCUGAUCCAGCAAUGCCGCGUGCAGGAAGAAGGCCUUCGGGUUGUAAACUGCUUUUGUACGGAACGAAACGGUCCGGGUUAAUACCCUGGGCUAAUGACGGUACCGUAAGAAUAAGCACCGGCUAACUACGUGCCAGCAGCCGCGGUAAUACGUAGGGUGCAAGCGUUAAUCGGAAUUACUGGGCGUAAAGCGUGCGCAGGCGGUUUUGUAAGACAGGCGUGAAAUCCCCGGGGUCAACCUGGGAAUUGCGCUUGUGACUGCAAGGCUGGAGUGCGGCAGAGGGGGAUGGAAUUCCGCGUGUAGCAGUGAAAUGCGUAGAUAUGCGGAGGAACACCGAUGGCGAAGGCAAUCCCCUGGGCCUGCACUGACGCUCAUGCACGAAAGCGUGGGGAGCAAACAGGAUUAGAAACCCUGGUAGUCC